rnacentral:lncRNA from 1 species
CCAUGGCUUGCAAAGUCUCGGGAAAGUUGCCAUUGCCCGGCGUAUGCCACCCCCUGCGAACCUGCCAAGCUUAAAAGCGGAGAACAAAGGCAAUGACCCCAAUGUCUCACUAGUACCGAAAGACGGGACAGGAUGGGCAAGCAAGCAGGAACAGUCAGACCCAAAGAGGUGAGGAGCCGUCCCCCCUGGGAGUGGGGUGGGCCUGGCCCGGGGGACAGGGCCUUUCCCCUCUAGGGGGCGCUGGCUCCCAUCAGGCCCCAGGUCUGAAGUCUCUCUCUCUCUCUCUCUCUGCCUCGCUCAUUCCCCCGUCUCAGUACCGAUGCCUCGACAGCUCAGCCGCCGGAAUCGCCGUCGCCGCCGGCUUCGCAGACAUCUGCCUCAAACCCACCGAAACGACCCCCAACAGCACCCGAGAAUCCCCCUACAGUAGCAAGCGGGGUAAAGUCUUGGGCACAGGCCAGCGUUACCCAUGGAGCGCAAGGAGAUGGUGGAAAGGGAUCAAACCUACUGUCGCGAUUCUCUCGCGAGGAAUUUCCGACCCUGCAGGCGGCUGGAGACCAGGACAAAGCUGGCAAAGAAAAGGACACUGCCGAUGCGUCGUAUGGGCCCGGACCAAACCUCCGCCCCCAGAAUGCGACGAGCUGGCGGGAUGGAGGCGGGCGGGGCACUGACGGGGAGGUGCCCGAGCAGCACCCCGGAGCCCCCG